rnacentral:rRNA from 1 species
GAUGAACGCUGGCGGCGUGCCUAAUACAUGCGAGUCGAGCGAACGGACGAGAAGCUUGCUUCUCUGAUGUUAGCGGCGGACGGGUGAGUAACACGUGGAUAACCUACCUAUAAGACUGGGAUAACUUCGGGAAACCGGAGCUAAUACCGGAUAAUAUUUUGAACCGCAUGGUUCAAAAGUGAAAGACGGUCUUGCUGUCACUUAUAGAUGGAUCCGCGCUGCAUUAGCUAGUUGGUAAGGUAACGGCUUACCAAGGCAACGAUGCAUAGCCGACCUGAGAGGGUGAUCGGCCACACUGGAACUGAGACACGGUCCUGACUCCUACGGGAGGCAGCAGUAGGGAAUCUUCCGCAAUGGGCGAAAGCCUGACGGAGCAACGCCGCGUGAGUGAUGAAGGUCUUCGGAUCGUAAAACUCUGUUAUUAGGGAAGAACAUAUGUGUAAGUAACUGUGCACAUCUUGACGGUACCUAAUCAGAAAGCCACGGCUAACUACGUG